UAAACUUACUGCUACUUUUAAUCAAAUUUACACAUGCAAGCAUCCACACACCAGUGAAAUACGCCCUAACACAGUAUAAAUGGAGCAGGUAUCAGGCACAACCGCCAGCCAAAAACACCAAGCUUUGCCACACCCACACGGGCCCUCAGCAGUGAUAAACAUUAAGCAAUAAGCGAACACACCAAACUAAAGCUUGACUUAGUUAUGAUUAACAGGGCCGGUAAACCUCGUGCCAGCCACCGCGGUUACACGGCGGGCCCAAAGCAGCAGACUCUCGGCGUAAAUAGUGGCCAGAAUAAUUACCCCCACAUUAAAAACUAAACCAUGCCCUAACCGUAAAACACAGGCUAAAUGAAAUCAAGCACUUUUAAUAACAGGUAAUUUGACCCACGAAAACUAAGAAACAAACUAGGAUUAGAUACCCUACUAUGCUUAGUCGUUAAUAUGAUAUUAUAGUACUAAAAUAUCCGCCAGAAAACUACGAGCGAAAAGCUUAAAACUCAAAGGACUUGGCGGUGCUCCAUACCGACUUAGAGGAGCCUGUCCUAUAAUCGAUACCCCACGCUAAACCC
rnacentral:rRNA from 1 species